rnacentral:rRNA from 1 species
GUAUGCAAUCUACCUUUUACAGAGGGAUAGCCCAGAGAAAUUUGGAUUAAUACCUCAUAGUAUAUAAAUUUCGCAUGAAGAUUAUAUUAAAGUCACAACGGUAAAAGAUGAGCAUGCGUCCCAUUAUCUAGUUGGUAAGGUAACGGCUUACCAAGGCUACGAUGGGUAGGGGUCCUGAGAGGGAGAUCCCCCACACUGGUACUGAGACACGGACCAGACUCCUACGGGAGGCAGCAGUGAGGAAUAUUGGACAAUGGGCGCAAGCCUGAUCCAGCCAUGCCGCGUGCAGGAUGACGGUCCUAUGGAUUGUAAACUGCUUUUAUACGAGAAGAAACACUGCUACGUGUAGCAGCUUGACGGUAUCGUAAGAAUAAGGAUCGGCUAACUCCGUGCCAGCAGCCGCGGUAAUACGGAGGAUCCAAGCGUUAUCCGGAAUCAUUGGGUUUAAAGGGUCCGUAGGCGGUUUAAUAAGUCAGUGGUGAAAGCCCAUCGCUCAACGGUGGAACGGCCAUUGAUACUGUUAGACUUGAAUUAUUAGGAAGUAACUAGAAUAUGUA